ensembl:rRNA 5S_rRNA 5S ribosomal RNA
GACAUUUGGUAGAGACUGUUGAAGCCACCUGGUCCCAGAAGACCCCAGAAGGUGGCCACAUUCACUGGUGCUGGGGCAAGGUUGUUAAGGGUGAAGCCUGGUGCCAGAUGUGU